ACUUCAUAGAGACUGGGUGAUUUGCUAGCUAUGUAAAUACUGGAGCUGGGAUUCAAAUGUAGGUACUUCUCACUUUAAAGCUCCAUAUUCUUCCCACCUACAUCAUGCUGCCUGAGAAGAGAAGAGAAGAGAAGAGAAAGGAGAAUUUACCAAAUCUACAUUAAUGAGAAGCAAGAACAGAGAGACCAGCUGUAGUCCAUCUCCCCUGAAGCCUGGCCAACAGAUCAAGGAGAACAUGGCUUGAGCUGCAAAAACAGACCAGAGAGAGAAACCCUGGGAAACUAGGCUCUAGCGGGUAGCUCAGGAGGGGAACCCACACUGCAGAGGAAAAGUAAAGAGGCCUGGGUGCCGGGAUUAACUCUAAUCAUCCGUGAGACUCUGGCAAGACAUGCUCUCCCUCAGAACCUCCAAAGACUGGAGUGAUCAGGUUUUUCAACUUUUAACAAAGGCCCAGCGUUUCUAACCAAAUAUAAUCUCCCUAAACCCUCAGUUUCUCAUGCACUUCCUCUUUGAGGAUUGCUCUGCUGCCUGUUUAUUCCUCAGAAACCAAGUUUCACUUUCUGAAAUCUGUUAUAAAGCCAGGCGACUUUUCAUUGUUACACUAUAAAUUAUGAUACCAAAU
rnacentral:lncRNA from 10 species